UGUUGGGGAAGCGGGUGUUAUCCUUCAGUGGUGCUUAGAGAAGACUGACUGCCCCAAGUGCUCCUCUUAAACUAAACUUCAUUUAAGCAUACCUUAACAAGCAUUCAUAGUGAGUGUAAUAUGAUAUAUAUGGGUGCUAGCUAAUGGUUAACCCACUCUGUUGAACCUGUGCUCCUCAUACAAACUCUUAUCAGUGUGGGAUGAGCUGUCUUAUUUCUGCAGAGAGGCAUUGCACAAGUUGGAGACUAAUGCUUUCUUAGGAGUAGAAGACAGCAGGAGGGCUUUCACUGCCGGCUCAAACAGGGAAGGGAAGGCAGGCAUCACGUUGCUAGAGCUGCUAUUUUCAAAUACAGACAGGAGGGAAGGAGGGUAGUGGGGUCUCUGAGUAUGUCCUGAAGUUCAUAGGGUGGCUGACCUCGACUCAGCUGUUACUUUGAUUUUGUAAGUGACUGUUGUGUGAACAGGUGCUCGAUGCAGUAUAAAGCUGCUCAGGAUAGUUGGCGUAACUUUGCUUUCAAGCUUUGACAAAGGGGAGAGAAAUAGGCAAGAUCAUACUUUAUGGAGGAGGUUACUGUGUGGAGAUACUCUGUAUGGUGAAUGAAGGGGCAAGAUAGUGCUGAAACUUAGAGCUUUCUGUGCAAGGCAAAAACCUGAUAGACCAGACUAGCUUUCCUCUCUUGAUGAAUUAAGCGACCUACCUCUGCAAACAAAUGAGAUUGUUAACUUUGAAUAAGGCCAUGGACUUAUAACUGUAUAGCACCUAUUGCUCACAGUAAAAGCUUCUGUUCAGGACAGAAGUUUAGAAUUUGAUGCAUUUAAGGUAUUUUUAUUGACCAGGUAAAAAUUCUUUGUUAAAACAUUGCUGGGCAUUCAACUCCCUCUUCCUUUAGGCUAUCCUUGCACUGGUGUAAGUACAUUUAAUUCAUUUAAGUUCCCUGUGACUUAGAGCAAAAAACAUAAAGUGAUGAGAGAAUUAAAAGAUAACUUUUAUGUUGUUUAUUAACAGCGUACUUUAUUUGGCUUUGGUUGCACAAAAGCUUUGUCAAUUAAGUUAAUAGUGAAUGUCACUUUCUGGUUAACAUGUUAUGGAAUCCUUUAGAGUACAUAAUAACUAUUAUAAGAAUCUUUCAUUCACGAACUAAAAUACGUACCCAUAAAUAUUUUCCUAAUUAUUUUUUAUUGUCAAAGAACAAAACCUUAAUUUGUAGCCCUUAAAAUAUGUUUUUCUUGACAGACUUACUCAUGCCUGAGUAUGGUUUGAUAUGAUAACUGAAUCCAUUUAUAAUGAUGAAUUAAAUAAAAAUGAAGAUAUUUUAAACAGAUCAGUGAAAUAUUGACAGAUCUGUAACAUGAAUGAUAUGGGUUUGUGAAUUCUCCAAUCGUGGGUAGAAAAAUCGUACUUGGGCAAUUUUUAUGAUUUAUUUCAUUAACUGGAGAAAGUUUAAGAUUAUAAAUAUUUUUUAAAUGAAUCUGAAAUUAGGAAUGUGGGAUGAGAAGCUGGUUUUGGACUCUGUGUUAAAAAUGCGUUAGCUAUUUUGCUGAGAAAUUCCUUUUAAGUAUAGCAAAGUUAAAAAUAUUUAUCUCCUUAAUACCUUUUUGGAUUAAAGUAGUAAAGUGUCAAAUGACUUUAUGAAUGCACACUUCAAGGUUGGGGUUUUUUGUUUUGCUUCAUUAACAUACAUUUUGUGGAGACUUUAUGAGUUCCAGUGCACCUUCCAAAAUUGACAGUGCCGGGGCUGGAUGGAAAGUUCAGACCAACUCUUGAACCUCCUCCUGUUGGUUCUACAGACUGUCUGGAGUGCAAAGGUUACGAACUGCUUGUAAACUAUCUCCAGAAUAAAAGCCUGUGUGCCAG